UACAGAGGGUGCAAGCGUUAAUCGGAUUUACUGGGCGUAAAGCGCGCGUAGGCGGCUAAUUAAGUCAAAUGUGAAAUCCCCCGAGCUUAACUUGGGAAUUGCAUUCGAUACUGGUUAGCUAGAGUGUGGGAGAGGAUGGUAGAAUUCCAGGUGUAGCGGUGAAAAUGCGUAGAGAUCUGGAGGAAUACCGGAUGGCGAAGGCAGCCAUCUGGCCUAACACUGACGCUGAGGUGCGAAAGCAUGGGGAGCAAACAGGG
rnacentral:rRNA from 1 species